rnacentral:rRNA from 1 species
AUUGAACGCUGGCGUCAUGCCUUACACAUGCAAGUCGAACGGCAGCACGGGUGCUUGCACCUGGUGGCGAGUGGCGAACGGGUGAGUAAUACAUCGGAACGUACCUUAUCGUGGGGGAUAACGCAGCGAAAGCUGUGCUAAUACCGCAUACGCCCUGAGGGGGAAAGCGGGGGAUCGAAAGACCUCGCGCGAUUAGAGCGGCCGAUGCCUGAUUAGCUUGUUGGUGGGGUAAAAGCCCACCAAGGCGACGAUCAGUAGCUGGUCUGAGAGGACGAUCAGCCACACUGGGACUGAGACACGGCCCAGACUCCUACGGGAGGCAGCAGUGGGGAAUUUUGGACAAUGGGGGCAACCCUGAUCCAGCAAUGCAGCGUGAGUGAAGAAGGCCUUCGGGUUGUAAAGCUCUUUUGUCAGGGAAGAAACACCGGCUCUAACACAGUCCGGGAAUGACGGUACCUGAAGAAUAAGCACCGGCUAACUACGUGCCAGCCGCCGCCGUAA